rnacentral:rRNA from 1 species
GAUGAACGCUGGCGGCGUGCCUAAUACAUGCAAGUCGAGCGAACAGACGAGGAGCUUGCUCCUCUGACGUUAGCGGCGGACGGGUGAGUAACACGUGGAUAACCUACCUAUAAGACUGGGAUAACUUCGGGAAACCGGAGCUAAUACCGGAUAAUAUAUUGAACCGCAUGGUUCAAUAGUGAAGGACGGUUUUGCUGUCACUUAUAGAUGGAUCCGCGCUGCAUUAGCUAGUUGGUAAGGUAACGGCUUACCAAGGGAACGAUGCGUAGCCGACCUGAGAGGGUGAUCGGCCACACUGGAACUGAGACACGGUCCAGACUCCUACGGGAGGCAGCAGUAGGGAAUCUUCCGCAAUGGGCGAAAGCCUGACGGAGCAACGCCGCGUGAGUGAUGAAGGUCUUCGGAUCGUAAAACUCUGUUAUUAGGGAAGAACAAAUGUGUAAGUAACUAUGCACGUCUUGACGGUACCUAAUCAGAAAGCCACGGCUAACUACGU